GGAACUCGAGAGUCCUAUAUUGAAAAUACAAUUCAAAGUAUCAAAAUUCUUCCAAUAUAUUAACCAAAAUAUACUAAGAUUAGGGUAAAAUAUAUAAUAUAAAAUCUAUUCAUCAAAUACCCCCAAACUUAGCUUUUUGCUUGUCCUCAAGCAAAACAGAAUAAAAAAAAACAACAAUGAAACAAUAGACCUUCCAUAAAUUAACCUCAAAGCAAUCUAGAGACGGUCACCAAACUUAAGAGAAUUAAACAAUUUUCAAAAUAAAAUUAACCAAACCUUACACAACAUUCUCAAGCGUAAUGAGUGACAUAACCAAUAUCAAUACAACUUACUCAACCCGGAUAGGUAUAUGCAAACCAAAGCUUCCACUUCAAAUCCUCUACCAUGAAUAUCACUCACAAAGGAAUCACACAUUAAAGGGUAGAGUGUUUCACUCAAAUCAUGAUAAGCAAUAUAAAACCCCAUAAGCUUGCUCUUCAUCUCAUCUCUUCACUAAUGUAAAUCAAUGCAACACCAAAGAUCAAAGGUCUUUACAAGGGUUGUAACAUUAGGCUAGGGUAUGGGCUAUCAAAGAAAGGAUAGGGAAAAACUAAAACUUAAGAAAUACCAAGAUAUCUUCAUAAUGUAAUUCAGUCGGCCCUCUUUUGAAACUUGAAUCUUCUAUUAUUGGCGUCCAGGACUCAUGUCAUAAGAUGGAACAAUUUCGAACUCUUCUUUUCUAAUUUUUUUUUUUAAAGAAUAAAAAUAAUACUAGACAUGGUACCUCGGUACACGCCACUUCUUAUUGUAGAACCCAACCUUUAUCUUCCUUGAUGUCCACUUGGUAUCCCUUAAGUUAUAGGGUAUGGCUAAAAUAGGUUAAAUGUGUAGGGAUGAAUGUGGGUGAUGAAAGAAAAGGCUAAGUGUUUGGCUUCAAAAGGGUAACUAGGGAAAAUGAAACAUAAAAAGGUGGUUAGAAAGGCUCAAACGAUCCAAACAUGGCCUUUAUCAUCUCUCUAAUGUUGCAUGACUUAGGAUUUCGCCUCGAGAGAUAUUGAAGCAAGUUCUAGUGAAUGAUAAUGCUAUCAUGAAACUCACAAGAAAGAAUAUGCAAGAGGCUCAAAAUCUCACAAGGGUUCAAUAAGUUUUCACUUUAAAUCCAUAUAUAGUUCUCUAAGUAAGAGAUAAUCAUACUGACAUUGGUUAUUGGUUUAAAAUAAACUUGAGAAUGAUCAUGUAAGAAUCAGAUUAACCAUAUAAAACAAUUGAAUUUCCACAAAAGAAGAACCAAUUCAAAUAAGUUUGUUGACCUAGAAGAAAGCGAAUUAUUAUCAUUGACUUAUGGAAGGUCUAAC
rnacentral:lncRNA from 1 species